AUUGAACGCUGGCGGCAGGCCUAACACAUGCAAGUCGAGCAGGGUUUUCGGACCUAGCGGCGGACGGGUGAGUAAUGCGUAGGAAGCUACCCGAUAGGGGGGGAUACCAGUUGGAAACGACUGUUAAUACCGCAUAAUGUCUACGGACCAAAGUGUGGGACCUUCGGGCCACAUGCUAUCGGAUGCGCCUACGUGGGAUUAGCUAGUUGGUGAGGUAAUGGCUCACCAAGGCGACGAUCUCUAGCUGGUUUGAGAGGAUGAUCAGCCACACUGGAACUGAGACACGGUCCAGACUCCUACGGGAGGCAGCAGUGGGGAAUAUUGGACAAUGGGCGCAAGCCUGAUCCAGCCAUGCCGCGUGUGUGAAGAAGGCCUUCGGGUUGUAAACUUCUUUUAUCUGGGAAGAAACCUACGAUUUCUAUUGUAGCCGACGGUACCAGAGGAAUAAGCACCGGCUAACUCCGUGCCAGCAGCCGCCGUAA
rnacentral:rRNA from 1 species